UCUUUUGUCUGGCUGCACUGACAUUAGUUUGCUCUUUGAUCAGAUCAGGCGCUGUAACUAUUUUUAAUAUGUCAUUUGUUAACCUCAUAUCAUUACAAACCAUUAUCUGACUGCAGCUCACGGUGAGUGACGUGUGUAACAAGGUGUUAAAUGUCACACGCUGUCCGACAAGUCCAACCUUCCGUGCCCUGAAAUGUUUCCCAGACCACCUCUGCAAGUGUUCCCGAGAACCGCGCCUGUUCCCUGGAAUCAACCGUUUCCCGGGCCAAGUGUGCUCAAACAUUUCCGGGAACCCAGUGUGAAAUGGCCCUAAAUAAAUUAAUUGUAUUGUAUAAAUUAUUUUUUUCAUCAUAUAGAUUAAAAUAGAUGAGUGAUAUUUUGGGUUAUCUUGUCACUAAGAUGCAUUUCCUUACAGUCCCAGAGCGUUGAGAAAAAAAGGGAUACUGUUGUCUGUUGCCUCAUUGAAUACCUUGGGGAACACCAGGAGGACCUCUUCCAAGAUUGCCAAUAUGAUGAACUGGAGGGCCCCAUGGAUCAAGCCAUGAAGGUGCUUGUUGUCCACAAUCCCAUGGCUGAUCACAAUCCAGCAGAAGUGAGAAUUGUGAUCGAGGGUAACCAAGUGCUGAGCAGGUGUGGAAACCGAACCCGUGCAUGCAUGCUGUUGAUGGGAUUAAUCUAUGCCCUCAACCUAGAGUAUCCCAAGAUGCUAAAGAACACCUUUGAAGUAUUCCAAAAACUUUUGCUAGAGCUUGAUGGAGCAAAGAUACUCAAAAAGGUCCAAACCCUUAAAAACAAACUAAUGGAGUGAACCGUUUGCAUACUGUGGAAAAAAAGUCUGAAUUUUGUUUUUAUAAAACAUUUUUUGAUUUUUAUAUUUUACAUUUAAUUUACAUUUAUAUUUUUAUUUUAUUUUUGACUAUUUUUGAGUACUUUAACUUUAAUGUCAUGUUGAUGAUAUGAAUAGAUCAUAUUGUGACAGUGUUUUGUGAUCCAGUUGUGCAGGGCUUUGCACAUUGUUCUUGUUAUUGAUCUAUAAUUGGAUAUGCACUUUUGAAGCCAUUGACAUCCUAUACAAUUGUAUGUCCUAUAGCAAUGGGAUAAUAGUUGAUCAGAAACAUUUGUUCUUAAUGAAACAGAAGUUCUUAAUGACCUCAACAACACAAAAUUGCACAGUAUUGUUCAAGAAACUGCCACAUUGAAGUUGUUAACCUCCUCAUCUUAUUGCCUUCCCUCUCACCUCUUUGAGCAAUGGUUUAUGAAGGGACAGUUUUUUCCAAAGUCAAAUGUAUAUUUGUCUUCUGCCUGGUGCUCAAAGUAGCAUCCAAGCAUUAAAAACGGUUGUAUCUUUGUAUAAAAAAAUGCAUUUUUAGAUACCUCAAGUGAGUCAGGUGUUCAGAGAUGAGGGCUGUGAGUGUGGAGAUGAAAUGUUCUGCAUUUUAAUUGUUGAGAUUUUAGUAAAGAACAUGUUUUAAU